rnacentral:lncRNA from 1 species
AACCCAUUAUAAAAGGAAGGAACCCAACCAUUUUCUUUCUUUUUUACAAAAGAGAACUCUACUCUUCUCCCGUACUCUCCUCUCAUUCUUUCUCUCUCCAUUGGACUCCAACCCUAAGGGUGCAUUUGGUUCGCAUUAUGAAAGAUUACUAGGAAUAAAAGAUAUCCGAGAAGCUUAUUCCUAUUCAUCCUAUUACUGAGAAUGUGGAAUUCCUGUGUUUGGUUCGCACCGUAAUAUUAAUUAGCCAUGUUAUUUAAUAUUACAAAAAAUAUACAAUUAAUUUAUUUAUUUAUUUAAUUAAUUUUAGAUAAUGUUACCAAAAGUUUCAACAUCUUUUUAGAAAAAAGGGAGAGAGAGUAUAAGUUAGAGAGAGAGAGCAUAAUUAAAAAAAUAGAAAGAAAAAUAUAGUCGAAAUUAGAGGGAGUGAGAGAGUUGAAAUUUUAGAAAGAGAGAGAGAGAGAAAGCUUAGUUUAGAGAGAGAAAAAAAAGUUGAAUUUUAGAGAGAAAAAUAAGUUU